rnacentral:misc_RNA from 1 species
AACUUUCGACAAUGGAUCACUUGGUUCUCGCAUCGAUGAAAAACGCAGCGAAUUGCGAUAAGUAAUGUGAAUUGCAGAUUUUCAGUGAAUCAUCGAAUCUUUGAACGCACCUUGCGCUCCUUGGUAUUCCGAGGAGCAUGCCUGUUUGAGUGUCAUUAAAUUAUCAACCAUAGUCUUUAUUGGCUUUUGGCUUGGACUUGGGAUUUGCUGGCCUAGUCAGCUGUCCUUAAAAGCAUUAGCAAGUGAAGUAGACAGUGCACGGCCUCUGACGUGAUAAUGAUCGUCGUGGGCUGGAAGUGUCAUAAUGAAGCUUGCUUUAAUUUUGAAUUUGAAUUUGAAUUUGAAAUUCUAUUACCAUUUUGACCACAAAUCAGGUAGGACUACCCGCUGAACUUAAGCAUAUCAAUAAGCGGAGGCU